rnacentral:rRNA from 1 species
UACGAAGGGGGGCUAGCGUUGCUCGGAAUCACUGGGCGUAAAGGGUGCGUAGGCGGGUUCUUAAGUCAGAGGUGAAAUCCUGGAGCUCAACUCCAGAACUGCCUUUGAUACUGAGAGUCUUGAGUAUGACAGAGGUGAGUGGAACUGCGAGUGUAGAGGUGAAAUUCGUAGAUAUUCGCAAGAACACCAGUGGCGAAGGCGGCUCACUGGGUCAUUACUGACACUGAGAUGCGAAAGCGUGGGGAGCAAACAGG